AUUGAACGCUGGCGGCAUGCCUUACACAUGCAAGUCGAACGGCAGCACGGGAGCAAUCCUGGUGGCGAGUGGCGAACGGGUGAGUAAUGUAUCGGAACGUGCCCAGUCGUGGGGGAUAACGUAGCGAAAGCUACGCUAAUACCGCAUACGAUCUGUGGAUGAAAGCGGGGGACCGUAAGGCCUCGCGCGAUUGGAGUGGCCGAUAUCAGAUUAGGUAGUUGGUGGGGUAAAGGCCUAACAAGCCGACGAUCUGUAGCUGGGCUGGGAGGACGACCAGCCACACUGGGACUGAGACACGGCCCAGACUCCUACGGGAGGCAGCAGUGGGGAAUUUUGGACAAGGGGCGCAAGCCUGAUCCAGCAAUGCCGCGUGCAGGAUGAAGGCCUUCGGGUUGUAAACUGCUUUUGUACGGAACGAAAAGCCCCGGGUUAAUACCCUGGGGUCAUGACGGUACCGUAAGAAUAAGCACCGGCUAACUACGUGCCAGCCGCCGCUGUAA
rnacentral:rRNA from 1 species